rnacentral:rRNA from 1 species
AUUGAACGCUGGCGGCAGGCCUAACACAUGCAAGUCGAACGAGUGGCGGAAGGGUGAGUAAUGUCUGGGAAACUGCCCGAUGGAGGGGGAUAACUACUGGAAACGGUAGCUAAUACCGCAUAAUUGGAUCGGCCGAUAUGGGAUUAGCUAGUAGGUGGGGUAACGGCUCACCAAGGCGACGAUCCGUAGCUGGUUUGAGAGGAUGACCAGCCACACUGGGACUGAGACACGGUCCAGACUCCUACGGGAGGCAGCAGUGGGGAAUUUUGGACAAUGGGUGAAACCCUGAUCCAGCCAUGCCGCGUGUAUGAUGAAGGCCUUCGGGUUGUAAAGUACUUUUGGCAGGGAAGCGGUACCCGCAGAAUAAGCACCGGCUAACUACGUGCCAGCAGCCGCGGUAAUUC